CGGACGGGUGAGUAAUGUCUGGGAAACUGCCUGAUGGAGGGGGAUAACUACUUGAAACGGUAGCUAAUACCGCAUAACGUCGCAAGACCAAAGAGGGGGACCUUCGGGCCUCUUGCCAUCGGAUGUGCCCAGAUGGGAUUAGCUAGUAGGUGGGGUAAAGGCUCACCUAGGCGACGAUCCCUAGCUGGUCUGAGAGGAUGACCAGCCACACUGGAACUGAGACACGGUCCAG
rnacentral:rRNA from 1 species